CAGUGAUUACGUGGAGGUGGCAGAAGCUCAGGAUUAUGACCGGCGCGCGGACAAACCCUGGACCAGACUCACUGCUGCUGAUAAGGCUGCUAUACGCAAAGAGCUGAACGAGUUCAAAAGCACAGAGAUGGAGGUGCACGAGUCCAGUCGACAUCUAACCAGGUUUCAUCGGCCGUAGAGUGAACUCUCUCCGUCUCUCUCUCUGGUUUGGAGCUGUUCAUCUCUAAUGGACCCUGAGCAGACUCUCUGCUGCUGGAUUUGAUCAGGAAUCACUCGCAGCAGAUCUGAGCUGAUCCUGCUGGACUCUCAGCGGCCCGGUGGAUUACCAGCGAGCUGACGAUCUGUCAGUGUGCCCAUAUUUCUGUAUAUUUUGACAAAAACUGAUCUAUUACGUGCCCUUCGCCAUGAAUUUCUCUUUUUUUGGUUUUUCCAGGCGAUGGUUUUUAAUGCAGCAGACGAUGUAGUUGAUUUUCUACUUGCAACUGAUAUUAUUCCAGUCCUUUUAGUCUUCAAAAACGGAGAACACAAAGGAAACAACUUUUCUAAUGAGCGCAAACCACAUUAUUAGACGCUGUCUUUGAAGAAACAGUUCAGCCAAAAAGGAAAAUUAGCUGGAAAUGUCCUCACCCUGAGAUCAUCCGAGAUUAGGAUGAGUUUGUGUCUUCAUCAGGUCUGGAGAAAUGUG